UACAGCCAUAUCACAUUGAAACACUGAUUCUCUUAUGAUCAUCAAAGUUAAGAAACUUCGAGCCUAGUCAGUACCUAGAUGGUUGACCAUUUAGGAAUACCAGGUGCUGAAA